AGUGAACGCUGGCGGUAGGCCUAACACAUGCGAGUCGAACGGCAGCACAGUAAGAGCUUGCUCUUACGGGUGGCGAGUGGCGGACGGGUGAGGAAUACAUCGGAAUCUACUUUUUCGUGGGGGAUAACGUAGGGAAACUUACGCUAAUACCGCAUACGACCUACGGGUGAAAGCAGGGGAUCUUCGGACCUUGCGCGAUUGAAUGAGCCGAUGUCGGAUUAGCUAGUUGGCGGGGUAAAGGCCCACCAAGGCGACGAUCCGUAGCUGGUCUGAGAGGAUGAUCAGCCACACUGGAACUGAGACACGGUCCAGACUCCUACGGGAGGCAGCAGUGGGGAAUAUUGGACAAUGGGCGCAAGCCUGAUCCAGCCAUACCGCGUGGGUGAAGAAGGCCUUCGGGUUGUAAAGCCCUUUUGUUGGGAAAGAAAAGCAGCAGGUUAAUACCCCGCUGUUCUGACGGUACCCAAACAAUAAGCACCGGCUAACUUCGUG
rnacentral:rRNA from 1 species